rnacentral:rRNA from 1 species
UGAGGAAUAUUGGACAAUGGAGGCAACUCUGAUCCAGCCAUGCCGCGUGAAGGACUAAGGCCCUAUGGGUCGUAAACUUCUUUUGACGCAGAGCAAUAAGGUCUACGUGUGGACUGAUGAGAGUAUGCGUCGAAUAAGCAUCGGCUAACUCCGUGCCAGCAGCCGCGGUAAUACGGAGGAUGCAAGCGUUAUCCGGAUUUAUUGGGUUUAAAGGUGCGUAGGCGGAUGGGUAAGUCAGCGGUGAAAUGUCCCGGCUCAACCGGGGAACUGCCAUUGAUACUGCCUGUCUUGAAUGCGGAUGCCGUGGGAGGAAUGUGUAGUGUAGCGGGUGAAG